rnacentral:rRNA from 1 species
GUGGAAUUUUGUAUGUACCAUAUGAAUAAGGAUCGGCUAACUCUGUGCCAGCAGCCGCGGUAAUACAGAGGUCUCAAGCGUUGUUCGGAAUCACUGGGCGUAAAGCGUGCGUAGGCUGUUUCGUAAGUCGUGUGUGAAAGGCGCGGGCUCAACCCGCGGACGGCACAUGAUACUGCGAGACUAGAGUAAUGGAGGGGGAACCGGAAUUCUCGGUGUAGCAGUGAAAUGCGUAGAUAUCGAGAGGAACACUCGUGGCGAAGGCGGGUUCCUGGACAUUAACUGACGCUGAGGCACGAAGGCCAGGGGAGCGAAAGGGAUUAGAUACCCCUGUAGUCCUGGCAGUAAACGGUGCACGCUUGGUGUGCGGGGAAUCGACCCCCUGCGUGCCGGAGCUAACGCGUUAAGCGUGCCGCCUGGGGAGUACGGUCGCAAGAUUAAAACUCAAAGAAAUUGACGGGGACCCGCACAAGCGGUGGAGUAUGUGGCUUAAUUCGAUGCAACGCGAAGAACCUUACCUGGGCUUGACAUGUAAUGAACAACAUGUGAAAGCAUGCGACUCUUCGGAGGCGUUACACAGGUGCUGCAUGGCCGUCGUCAGCUCGUGUCGUGAGAUGUUUGGUUAAGUCCAGCAACGAGCGCAACCCCUGUUGCCAGUUACCAGCACGUGAAGGUGGGGACUCUGGCGAGACUGCCCAGAUCAACUGGGAGGAAGGUGGGGACGACGUCAGGUCAGAAUGGCCCUUAUGCCCAGGGCUGCACACGUACUACAAUGCCCAGUACAGAGGGGGCCGAAGCCGCGAGGCGGAGGAAAUCCUAAAAACUGGGCCCAGUUCGGACUGUAGGCUGCAACCCGCCUACACGAAGCCGGAAUCGCUAGUAAUGGCGCAUCAGCUACGGCGCCGUGAAUACGUUCCCGGGUCUUGUACACACCGCCCGUCACAUCAUGGAAGCCGGUCGCACCCGAAGUAUCUGAAGCCAACCGCAAGGAGGCAGGGU